rnacentral:rRNA from 1 species
UAGCCUGGUAGCGGGGGAUAACUAUUGGAAACGAUAGCUAAUACCGCAUAACAGUAGAUAUCGCAUGAUAGCUGCUUGAAAGGUGCAAUUGCACCACUACCAGAUGGACCUGCGUUGUAUUAGCUAGUUGGUGAGGUAACGGCUCACCAAGGCAACGAUACAUAGCCGACCUGAGAGGGUGAUCGGCCACACUGGGACUGAGACACGGCCCAG